CCACGAUGUACACAUGUUACAUAGAGCACAUGUGACCUCUUCUUCAUAAAUGAAGACCGACCGUCCGUGCAACCCCUAAUAGAGCCGCGGGCCUCACAAAUUUUAUAGACGGCAAUGAUAGUCCAUCCGUGGCUGCGACACGGUGCCGAGUAGAGCCACGGAUGCCAUAUUAUCUCUUCCUUUUCUUUCUUUCUUUUUUUUAACCGUCCGCGACGACGGCACGGCGCCGAGUAGAGCCACGGACCUCACGAAUUUUAUAGACGGCAAUGGUGGCCCAUCCAUGGCUGCGACAUGGCGGCAGGUAGAGCCAGGGAUGCCACAAACAACAUCUUUCUCAUAUCAAAUGAUUAUCCGCGACGAGGACACGGCGCCGGGUAGAGCCGCGGACAUCACGAAUAUGUAGAACAUAUGGCAAUGGUGGUCCACCCGUGGCUGCGAUAGGAUGCCACAAACAACAUCUUUCU
rnacentral:lncRNA from 1 species